rnacentral:rRNA from 1 species
AUUGAACGCUGGCGGCAGGCCUAACACAUGCAAGUCGAGCGGAUGAAGGGAGCUUGCUCCUGGAUUCAGCGGCGGACGGGUGAGUAAUGCCUAGGAAUCUGCCUGGUAGUGGGGGAUAACGUCCGGAAACGGGCGCUAAUACCGCAUACGUCCUGAGGGUGAAAGUGGGGGAUCUUCGGACCUCACGCUAUCAGAUGAGCCUAGGUCGGAUUAGCUAGUUGGUGGGGUAAAGGCCUACCAAGGCGACGAUCCGUAACUGGUCUGAGAGGAUGAUCAGUCACACGGGAACUGAGACACGGUCCAGAAUCCUACGGGAGGCAGCAGUGGGGAAUUUUGGAAAAUGGGCGAAAGCCUGAUCCAGCCAUGCCGCAUGUGUGAAGAAGGUCUUCGGAUUGUAAAGCACUUUAAGUUGGGAGGAAGGGCAGUAAGUUAAUCCCUUGCUGUUUGGACGUUACCAACAAAAAAAGCACCGGCUAACUUCGU